UACGUAGGCAGCAAGCGUUGUUCGGAGUUACUGGGCGUAAAGGGUGUGUAGGCGGUUGGAUAAGUGUGGUGUGAAAUCUCCCGGCUCAACUGGGAGGGUGCGCUACAAACUGUCUGACUAGAGUGUGGGAUGGGAAAGUGGAAUUCCUGGUGUAGCGGUGAAAUGCGUAGAUAUCAGGAGGAACACCGGUGGUGUAGACGGCUUUCUGGACCAUAACUGACGCUGGAGACACGAAAGCGUGGGUAGCAAACAGG
rnacentral:rRNA from 1 species